UUUUAUUGAAAUGUUAGAGAGUCCGGUUCUACUAGAAGAAUACACCUAUUUAGAGAAGAUCUCGGAGCAUGAUCCAAUUUCUGAAGUGCGUUAACACCUCCAUUAGUGCUGCAGAAGAAUUGCAAGCAAAAUCUAUAAGCCCAAAAACUCACAUAGGAUCUUCUAUUUAGACAAGAGGGAUGUUGUACGGGCUCGAGGUCCAGGAUGGAGUGAAUUGGACUUAGGUAAUUUUUUUAAAAAUUUCUUUU